rnacentral:rRNA from 1 species
UACGUAGGGGGCAAGCGUUGUCCGGAAUUAUUGGGCGUAAAGAGCGUGUAGGCGGUCCGGUAAGUCGGCUGUGAAAGUCCAGGGCUCAACCCUGGGAUGCCGGUCGAUACUGCCGGACUAGAGUUCGGAAGAGGCGAGUGGAAUUCCUGGUGUAGCGGUGAAAUGCGUAGAGAUCAGGAAGAACACCGGUGGCGAAAGCGCUCUGCUGGACCUUAACUGACACUGAGGGACGAAAGCUAGGGGAGCGAAUGGG